rnacentral:lncRNA from 1 species
CUGGAGCAUAGUAAGUGCUGACUAAAUAUCUUUCGAAUGAAUGACUCUACUCUUCCUCAGCUGGACUCAUGAAUUCUGUCGGGUCCCAAAAUACGUGGUCUAAAGUCCUUUGGGCUCCUGCCGCUGCCAGCACUGAUCAUAUGCUCUUGACCCUGGUCGGGUGGGGGGAUGUCUGGAUACCUCCUCUGUGGAAAGAACUGGCCACACAUCCGCAGAGGUGACUCGGGCUGAGAACCCAGGCUCCUCCUCCCUUUGGUGACACGCCCCUCGGUCCCUCACUGGCACUUCUCCCUCCGGCCACACGGCGGCGUCUCGCCAUAGCGCAGCGGCCGAUGGUACAGCCCGCUCCCCCCUCGCGCUCUCGGACAGUGGGUCCUUCCACUUGUAGAAAAGCAUUGUGGGACGGAAGCCUGUCCUUUCUUCCUUUUGGUGCGAGCUUGCUGUGGUUUUUGCUCUGGGUCCUCUGGGAUGGCGCCUGGCUGUGGCCGCGUGGUCUCUCACGCAGGGGCGCCGGGCGGGGGAACGCGGCCACCCUGAGUCUGGUGAGUCGACUGCGGCGGCCUGUGUCCGAAGUGUCCGGGGCCGUGAACAAGGGCAGCGGCCUGGCCUCAGGCCUGCGUUCCCACGUUUGGAAACGGGGAGCUUCGUCGAUUUGUGUUUACAUCAUCGACUAUGCCAGGGAGUUCUCCAGAUAAGCCUGGUUUUAUUUUCGUCAGUGAAAAGGCCUUACCGUAUAACUGACUUUAUGCUUGCCCUGCCCCCGUAUAAAAUAACUUAAAAGCAGCGUGCCUGGUUACAGCUGUUUCCACGUGCGGUGCUCGUCGGGAGUGAUCACCUACCCUACAGGUGGAAGAUGGAUGCCUGAAGUGUAGACUGCUGCUAGCUGAAUACCAUCUGGGAGCAUAAAGGUGACCUGAAGGAUGUCCUUGGUGAGGAUUUUGAAAAUUUGAUCUUCACAAGAGUUGCCUGGAUCAUUUGAAAUUUCUGGGAGUCUGAGGAGUACUGACAUAAUUACCUGCUGGAGUCUGUAAAUACACAUUUAAGACAGUGAGGAUGUGAAUAAAUAUAUUAAUGCACUUUGGCAUUUGUGUUUUAAGUGAUUAACUGCCAGAAACAGCUAUUUCUAAAAAGUUAUAAGGGAGGAGGGGUUCUUUUUUGAUCAGUAUUCACUGCUGUCACCAUAAUUAAUAGCCUUAAAAUAGCUUGUGUUUGGCCCAAAGAGAAAUGUACUUUCUUCCAGUGACUCAAAAAUCGUGGCUAGAACUAGACUGAUUUCUAGUGACAGGUGUGCUUUACUGCACUCAAUGCGUAUUUUUCCUCCAACUAAAUUGUACAUUUAAUGUUGCCAUAUCUUCUGCCUUUGCUUUGCAGGAAACGACAAAUAAUGUAUAGAGGUAUUCAAAAAAUUUAUUGAAAGCACUGUACUAGGAGCUGAGAACACGAUGAUGAGCACAACACAGUUCUUCCCUUUGGAAACAUAGAUAAGUGGAGGGAAUGUCAUCACAAAUGUAAAACUUCACUAUGAGAUGAGUUCCGUGAUAGGAUUUUCUUAGGGAAACCUGAGAAAGAGUUGAGACUAAAGGAGGACAGACAAAGAUCCUGAAA